rnacentral:rRNA from 1 species
UACGUAGGGUGCGAGCGUUGUCCGGAAUUAUUGGGCGUAAAGAGCUCGUAGGCGGUCUGUCGCGUCUGCUGUGAAAACCCGAGGCUCAACCUCGGGCCUGCAGUGGGUACGGGCAGACUAGAGUGCGGUAGGGGAGAAUGGAAUUCCUGGUGUAGCGGUGGAAUGCGCAGAUAUCAGGAGGAACACCGGUGGCGAAGGCGGGUCUCUGGGCCGAUAUUGACGCUGAGGAGCGAAAGCGUGGGGAGCAAACAGG